AAUAUUGCACAAUGGGCGCAAGCCUGAUGCAGCCAUGCCGCGUGUAUGAAGAAGGCCUUCGGGUUGUAAAGUACUUUCAGCAGUGAGGAAGGUGGGUAUGUUAAUAGCAUAUUCAUUUGACGUUAGCUGCAGAAGAAGCACCGGCUAACUCCGUGCCAGCAGCCGCGGUAAUACGGAGGGUGCGAGCGUUAAUCGGAAUUACUGGGCGUAAAGCGCAUGCAGGUGGUUUGUUAAGUCAGAUGUGAAAGCCCGGGGCUCAACCUCGGAAUUGCAUUUGAAACUGGCAAACUAGAGUACUGUAGAGGGGGUAGAAUUUCAGGUGUAGCGGUGAAAUGCGUAGAGAUCUGAAGGAAUACCGGUGGCGAAGGCGGCCCCCUGGACAGAUACUGACACUCAGAUGCGAAAGCGUGGGGAGCAAACAGGAUUACAUACCCUGGUAG
rnacentral:rRNA from 1 species